UAGUUCUACUGUUGCAGAUAAGAUCCUUUGUAGUAUCACCCAAUUGCGGGGAGACGCUGCAUAGAUAUAUUUUGGCUAUUUUACCAUUAAGAGGUCCAUUAAAGAUAAAAUAUUUUUCUCUUUCUCCGAGGGUAAAAGAGUCAAAAAAUUCACUCAAGGAUCUAUCUACUGCAAUAGAACCACAGAGGGUCUAUCUGCAGUUGGGGCUAGUACAAGGGGUCAAUCCACAAUUAACCCACUUCAAAAAGAGAGUUUCCGCUUAUUUAUGAUAGCAUUAGAAUGAUCACCAAUAGUGCUUUAAUAGAAAGGAAUGCAGGCAAUAUUUAUGAGCUCGCAUUUGAAUAUUGAAAUCUCAUGAUUUUAUCAUACUGUAACGUAUAAAGAAAUGUUUCGAGUUCAUUAUAAAAUUUGACUUUAGCUUAUGUGAAUUUUCAGCUAGGUGUGGAUAUCGGUUCAUCGACGGUUGCUAGGGGAGUAGUGAGUCUUGUACUUGGUUACUUGACUAACCUGGUGAUAGAAAUGGCAUUUCUGGUUCAGGGAAAUACCGAGGAAGAGCUCCCUGAAUUCCUCCUCGGAACCUGCCGCUUGAACCACCUUGAUGCUGCCAAAGCAGUAUCAAUACCACCAUGGUGACCUUAAGAGUUAUUUUCCGAUGAUACCAGUCGUUCGAAGAUCGAAAGGGGGAUUUAUGUAUAUUUUCAGAAGAGAUGCUUCACUGAAUGUAAAUAUUAUUGCCUUUUGAUGAGUUACCACAAUUCUUUCAUUAUAAGAAAAGACCAAAUUAAAGGGAUUCAGGCAAAAGGGGUUUGUGGAUUAUGGUGAGAUUGUUAUGUUUUACCUCCACAUGUAAUUUUAACCGUUGUCAAAAUUAAAUCAAGUUGGCGUAAACAGUGGAGGAAAUUUAACCAUUAUAUAUUUGGACUGUUAACUUCAAGGUGGUGAGAGAUCAACUCUCUUGAAGUAGUACCCCAUGUAUAAAAGUUACUUUCAAGGAUAUAGAGAUUUAAGCUGGUGAUAAACUGAGCCACACUCUUUUUGAGUUUCUCUGUACUUGUUUAAGGUGUAAGAUUAUUGGAGCCUAGGCAAAUUUUGAGUUUA